ACUCAAUAGAUACCCAGGUAGUCCUGGCCCUAAACGAUGUCUACUAGAUCGUGGCGGCACUGACGCCGUCAUGGUCGAAGCAAAAGUGUUAAGUAGACCGCCUGGGAAGUACGGUCGCAAGGCUAAAACUCAAAGAAAUUGACGGGGGCUCACACAAGCGGUGGAGCAUGUGGUUCAAUUCGAAGCAACGCGAAGAACCUUACCUGGGCUUGACAUGCUAGGAUUAUCUUGAUGAAAGUCGAGUAGGCCCCGCAAGGGGUACAACUAGUACAGGUGCUGCAUGGCUGUCGUCAGCUCGUGUCGUGAGAUGUCGGGUUAAGUCCCUUAACGAGCGAAACCUUUGCCCUUAGUUGCCAUCGGGUUAUGCCGGGCACUCUAAGGGGGACUGCCGGUGUCAAACCGGAGGAAGGUGGAGAUGACGUCAAGUCCUCAUGGCCUUUAUGCCCAGGGCUACACACGUGCUACAAUGGCGUCCACAAAGCGAGCCGAGAGCGCAAGCUGGAGGAAAUCGCAGAAAUGACGCCCCAGUUC
rnacentral:rRNA from 1 species